rnacentral:rRNA from 1 species
AUACGGAGGAUGCGAGCGUUAUCCGGAUUUAUUGAGUUUAAAGGGAGCGUAGGUGGGAUAUUAAGUCAGCUGUGAAAGUUUGGGGCUCAACCUUAAAAUUGCAGUUGAUACUGGUUUCCUUGAGUACGGUACAGGUGGGAGGAAUUCGGGGGGUAGCGGUGAAAUGCUUAGUAAUCACGAAGAACUCCGAUCGCGAAGGCAGCACACCGGGCCGGAACUGACACUGAUGCUCGAAAGUUCGGGUAUCAAACAGGAUUAGAUACCCUGGUAGUCCGCACAGUAAACGAUGAAUACUCGCUGUUUGCGAUACACGGUAAGCGGCCAAGCGAAAGCGUUAAGUAUUCCACCUGGGGAGUACGCCGGCAACGGUGAAACUCAAAUGAAUUGACGGGG